rnacentral:rRNA from 1 species
UACGAAGGGGGCUAGCGUUGCUCGGAAUCACUGGGCGUAAAGCGCACGUAGGCGGCUUGUUAAGUCAGGGGUGAAAUCCUGGAGCUCAACUCCAGAACUGCCUUUGAUACUGGCAAGCUUGGAGUCCGGGAGAGGUGAGUGGAACUGCGAGUGUAGAGGUGAAAUUCGUAGAUAUUAGGAAGAACACCAGUGGCGAAGGCGGCUCACUGGUCCGGUACUGACGCUGAGGUGCGAAAGCGUGGGGAGCAAACAGG